rnacentral:tRNA from 1 species
GAUAAAGAGGGGAGUUAAACCCCCUUGGGUAGGACUACAGCCUAUUGCCUAGCACUCGGCCACUUUACC